rnacentral:rRNA from 1 species
AUUGAACGCUGGCGGCAGGCCUAACACAUGCAAGUCGAACGAGUGGCGGACGGGUGAGUAAUGUCUGGGAAACUGCCUGAUGGCGGGGGAUAACUACUGGAAACGGUAGCUAAUACCCCAUACCAUCAGAUGUGCCCCGAUGGGAUUAGCGCGUUGUUGGGGUAACGUCGCACCAAGGCGACGAUACCUAGCUGGUCUGAGAGGAGGACCAGCCACACUGGAACUGAGACACGGUCCAGACUCCUACGGGAGGCAGCAGUGGGGAAUAUUGCACAAUGGGCGCAAGCCUGAUGCAGCCAUGCCGCGUGUAUGAAGAAGGCCUUCGGGUUGUAAAGUACUUUCAGCGGGGAGGCGUGACCCGCAGAAGAAGCACCGGCUAACUCCGUGCCAGCAGCCGCGGUAAUAC